UCUGUGCUCAGUGUGUCGCGCUUCUCACNCCAUCUCUCGCCUGGGGGUGUGUUCCUCCUCCACNCGUGAGCAGUGUGACCCACUUCUCGUUUUUGUCCAUUAUAUCCCUCUGUCUCAUUUUCACUGUUCUCAAUCUCUCNCCGAUUCGGCGAG
rnacentral:rRNA from 1 species